GAUACAGUGGCGCACCUUCAUCCUUUGAUUUUACUGUUGAAGUGACUUUGACAAGAUUCAGAUUUCCACACAUGGGUGCAGGAGAUUCACCAAAGAACUUGAAACCAAAGAGGUCAAGGGUCAGAACAUUUAGUUUCCCUGUCCCGAUGGAGGUCCGACCAGACGAACAUGCAAUAAUCCGCUCCAGUCGUCCGGGAUCAGCGGGCCUUCCAAGUCCGGGCUCGGUCCCGGGACUCUGCGGCUUUCAUCUCAAUAUGGGGGUCAGCCUGUGAAGAAGGCACAUCAGACUGGGGUCAUCUAUGAUGCUGGUCAACUGGUCAUUUCUCCCGGCCUAUUAACCACCUGGGAUCAGUAUGUUUUGUCAGCUUUUCCUGAGGUUUGGGUUUCAUUUGCCAUGCUUUGAAAUCAAACACGCGCAGCCCACACACGCCUGGAAACAAAGCUUUCUCUGACAAACACACCUAAACAUUUAUGUACUCUGAAGUCUGAUUCAACAACCAAACUCUUGUAUGUUUGAGAAAACACAUGUUAAGAGGCUCGUGACUCAUGCCUGCAGAUGUAUGGAUUCAUAGGACGUUCAAAGCAUGUCUUCACUUAUCUUCUUUUUUCUUCCUUAUGCAAACCGUACUCUGUCUUUAUUGGUUAAAGAGACAUUUUGGGA